rnacentral:rRNA from 2 species
AGUUUGAUCCUGGCUCAGGAUGAACGCUAGCGGUGCGCUUAACACAUGCAAGUCGUGCGAUCGAACCGGAUCAAUCACCCUUCGGGGUGUGCGAACCGGCGACGGAGCGGCGGACUGGUGAGUAACGCGUGGCCAACUUACCCUCUUGACGAGGACAACCACUCGAAAGGGUGGCUAAUACUCGAUAUUGCUGCGAAUCGAUGGGUUCGCUUCCAAAGGCGGUUCUGCCGUCGCAAGGGGAUGGGGCUGCGUCCUAUUAGCUUGUUGGUAGGGUAACGGCCUACCAAGGCGAUGAUGGGUAGCUGGUCUGAGAGGAUGAUCAGCCACAUUGGGACUGAGAUACGGCCCAGACUCCUACGGGAGGCAGCAGUGGGGAAUAUUGGACAAUGGGGGAAACCCUGAUCCAGCGACACCGCGUGGGGGAUGAAGGCUUUCGGGUUGUAAACCCCUUUUCUGGAGGAAGAAUAAGUUCGAGAGGAAAUGCUCGAGCGAUGACGGUACUCCAGGAAUAAGCAUCGGCAAACUUCGUGCCAGCAGCCGCGGUAAGACGAAGGAUGCAAGCGUUAUCCGGAAUUACUGGGCGUAAAGGGCGUCUAGGCGGUUGAGUAAGUCACUUGUGAAAUCCCUCGGCUUAACCGAGGACGGUCUUGUGAUACUGCUUAACUUGGGUGCAGGAGAGGAGAGUGGAACUCAUAGAGUAGCGGUGGAAUGCGCAGAUACUAUGAGGUACCCCGAUGGCGAAGGCAACUCUCUGGCCUGCUACCGACGCUGAAGCGCGAAAGCGUGGGGAGCAAAGGGGAUUAGAUACCCCCGUAGUCCACGCCGCAAACGAUGUUCACUGGGUGUCGGACGCUUAAUGUAGUUCGGUGCCGAAGCUAACGCGAUAAGUGAACCGCCUGGGGAGUACGGCCGCAAGGCUAAAACUCAAGAGAAUUGACGGGUCCCCGCACAAGCGGUGGAGCACGUGGCUUAAUUCGAUGAUAAACGAAGAACCUCACCUGGGUUUGACAUGCUAGUGGUAGGAACCUGAAAGGGGGACGACCCUUUUCUUCGGAUUUGGGAGCUAGCACAGGUGAUGCAUGGCUGUCGUCAGCUCGUGUCGUGGGAUGUGUAGGGUUAAGUCCCGAAACGAGCGCAACCCCCGUUCGUCAGUUGCCAGCGGAUCAUGCCGCGGACUCUGGCGAGACAGCCGGUUAUAAUCCCCCAAAAAAGGAGAGGAUGACGUAAAGUCACCAGUGGUCCCUUACGCCCAGGGCGGCACACAUGCUACAAUGGGGGGUACAAAGGGUUGCAAUGUCGUAAGGCGGAGCGAAUCUCAAAAAGCCCUCCUCAGUUCGGAUUGAGGUCUGAAACUCGACCUCAUGAAGCCGGAAUCGCUAGUAAUCGCAGGUCAGCCAUACUGCGGUGAAUAUGUACUCGGGGAUUGUACACACCGCCCGUCAUACCAACCGAGUGGGGGGUGCCUGAAGUCGCCUUCUUGUAAGGUGCCUAGGGUAACCUUCGCGAGAGGGGUAAAGUCGUAACAAGGUAACC